CAGCAGCCGCGGGAAUACGGAGGGUGCAAGCGUUAAUCGGAAUUACUGGGCGUAAAGCGCACGCAGGCGGUCUGACAAGUCAGAUGUGAAAUCCCCGGGCUUAACCUGGGAACUGCAUUUGAAACUGUCAGGCUGGAGUCUUGUAGAGGGGGGUAGAAUUCCAGGUGUAGCGGUGAAAUGCGUAGAGAUCUGGAGGAAUACCGAUGGCGAAGGCAGCCAUCUGGCCUAAUACUGACGCUGAGGUACGAAAGCAUGGGGAGCAAACAGGAUUAGAGACCCCUGUAGUCCCUGUCUCUUAUAC
rnacentral:rRNA from 1 species